rnacentral:misc_RNA from 1 species
UCCCCCCUUUUUUUUGCCGAUUUCACAUUAAUAGCUCCGACACCCAUCCGACAUCGGGUGUCAAUGUCGAAUCCACUUCCUUAACAGAGUUGUCUUUGCUGAGUUUCGCAUACAUUUUGGCUCUGAGGUCUCUCCCAGAUUCCACUCUCUCCAUUACCGGUUCUUCCUCGUAAUUCUUCCCCCAUAAUUCGUAAUUUCCGAUGGUCGGAGUUGACGGUAAGUUAAAGAAACCAGAGCCGGAGGGAGAGAGCGGAUUGUGCCCCAAUUGAAUCCUCCCCCAAUGAGGGGUUGCUUUCAAUUUCCCAAUUUGAAGAUUACGCAUACAUGAAACCAGUCCAUUCAUCGAAUUAAACGGACAAUUCGGCGACAGGGGUGGUGAAUCGGACGGAGGAGAGACAGGCGGCGUUGAUAGAAUUGAAGUGGGUGAGGUCACAAAUGACCCUUUAGCAAAAUAGGAAUCGAGUGCGUGUGCAAUUCGUGAAGAACCAUCAACGGAAUCGGCCGAAACAGGCGUUCUCGGGCUCUGCUGCGGCACAACCCGAAGCUGUUCCGGCGUGUGAGCGAAAAAACAGACACGACGGCGACAGGCUAAUCCAUCCUUACAUGGUUGAGUCCUGUACCGAGCUGGAUGAAGCCAACACUCAAAAAUCCCGUGCGCGAGAUCGCAAGAAUCUCCUUUCUUGCAAUUCCCUUUUCGAAACUCCGGACAAGCCGUACCGGAGUAAUGAUGCUUCCUCGGAUCUCGGCGGCGAGCUUUCUCGCCGGGAUGUGCGUACGGACACUCCGUCCAAUCGUGCGACCUCCCACGUGCGCAUCUCCGGAUUUUGAACUCGAACAUCCGAAAAUGGUCACAGGAAAAACCAUCCACCGCUUCCGCCACCGCGUCCAAAUCGUCGGAAUCCGCCGCAGAGGGAAGGUAAUGGUGAAUGGCGGAAAAGGAGUCGAUAAAUGAGUCGACCCCACCGGCGAUGAAGACUGGCGAGGAAAUUCCGGUCAGAUGGUGGUCUUCAAGUGGGUCCCAAGGAGGAACUUGAAUGGUGUGAUUGAAUCUAGAUUGUUCUCCG